UAAUCCUACGGGACGCAGCAGUGAGGAAUAUUGGUCAAUGGGCGCAAGCCUGAUGCAGCGACGCCGCGUGCGGGAUGGAGGCCUUCGGGUUGUAAACCGCUUUUGUUCAAGGGCAAGGCACGGUCUUUGGCCGUGUUGAGUGGAUUGUUCGAAUAAGCACCGGCUAACUACGUGCCAGCAGCCGCGGUAAUACGUAGGGUGCAAGCGUUAUCCGGAUUUAUUGGGCGUAAAGGGCUCGUAGGCGUUUCGUCGCGUCCG
rnacentral:rRNA from 1 species